CACUAUCGUUAACUGAAUACAUAGGUUAACGAGGCGAACCGGGGGAACUGAAACAUCUAAGUACCCCGAGGAAAAGAAAUCAACCGAGAUUCCCCCAGUAGCGGCGAGCGAACGGGGAGCAGCCCAGAGUCUGAAUCAGCUUGUGUGUUAGUGGAACGGUCUGGAAAGUCCGACGGUACAGGGUGAUAGUCCCGUACACCAAAAUGCACAGGCUGUGAACUCGAAGAGUAGGGCGGGACACGUGGUAUCCUGUCUGAAUAUGGGGGGACCAUCCUCCAAGGCUAAAUACUCCUGACUGACCGAUAGUGAACCAGUACCGUGAGGGAAAGGCGAAAAGAACCCCGGCGAGGGGAGUGAAAAAGAACCUGAAACCGUGUACGUACAAGCAGUGGGAGCACCUUUAUGGUGUGACUGCGUACCUUUUGUAUAAUGGGUCAGCGACUUAUAUUCUGUAGCAAGGUUAACCGUAUAGGGGAGCCGCAGGGAAACCGAGUCUUAACUGGGCGUUAAGUUGCAGGGUAUAGACCCGAAACCCGGUGAUCUAGCCAUGGGCAGGUUGAAGGUUGGGUAACACUAACUGGAGGACCGAACCGACUAAUGUUGAAAAAUUAGCGGAUGACUUGUGGCUGGGGGUGAAAGGCCAAUCAAACCGGGAGAUAGCUGGUUCUCCCCGAAAGCUAUUUAGGUAGCGCCUCGUGAACUCAUCUUCGGGGGUAGAGCACUGUUUCGGCUAGGGGGUCAUCCCGACUUACCAACCCGAUGCAAACUACGAAUACCGAAGAAUGUUAUCACGGGAGACACACGGCGGGUGCUAACGUCCGUCGUGAAGAGGGAAACAACCCAGACCGCCAGCUAAGGUCCCAAAGUCAUGGUUAAGUGGGAAACGAUGUGGGAAGGCACAGACAGCCAGGAUGUUGGCUUAGAAGCAGCCAUCAUUUAAAGAAAGCGUAAUAGCUCACUGGUCGAGUCGGCCUGCGCGGAAGAUGUAACGGGGCUAAACCAUGCACCGAAGCUGCGGCAGCGACACGAUGUGUUGUUGGGUAGGGGAGCGUUCUGUAAGCCUGCGAAGGUG
rnacentral:rRNA from 1 species